rnacentral:rRNA from 1 species
CCUACGGGCGGCAGCAGUGGGGAAUAUUGGGCAAUGGGCGCAAGCCUGACCCAGCAACGCCGCGUGAAGGAAGCAGGCUUUAUGGGUGUUAAAUUCUUUUAAGCGGGGAGCGCAGAAGACGGUACCUCUUGAAUAAGCCACGGCUAACUACGUGCCAGAAGCCGCGGUCAUACGUAGGUGGCAAGCGUUGUCCGGAUUUACUGGGGGUAAAGGGCGUUCAGCCGGGAAGACAAGUCAGAUGUGAAAUCCCGCGGCUCAACCGCGGAACUGCAGUUGAAACUGUUUUUCUUGAGUACCGGAGAGGUCAUCGGAAUGCCUUGUGUAGCGGUGAAAUGCGUAGAUAUAAGGAAGAACACCAGUGGCGAAGGCGGAUGACUGGACGGCAACUGACGGUGAGGCGCGAAAGCGUGGGGAGCAAACAGGAUUAGAUACCCGAGUAGUC